AUGACAACAACAAUGACGACCACCAUCAGCUUCUCUACCAUUCUAUUCAUCUUGCUUUCUGUGGCAAUCACUGCUCAGACCAAUGACUCUGGUAGUGGUAUGGCGAGGGUGACCAACCUCAUGGUGGAAGCAUGCAAGAAUGCCUCAAGCUAUCAUCGUGAGCUUAAAACUAUCACACAUGAAUUUUGCUUGUCGACCCUCCGGUCAGACAAUAGGAGUGUGGAGGCAAAGGACCACCUUGAACUGGUGCUAGUUGCCAUCGACAUCCUUAAAGGCCGCCUCACCACUGCCAAUCACAACAUUGAGAAAAUGCUAGAAAAAGCAAAGAAUGGCACGGUGGCAAUGCGCGAUCUUAGUACUUGCAAGGUGUACUUUGAUACAACAAUGAGAAUCUCAAUAUAUGUGAUGACAUGGUCAAAGAUUUCCGCGGAGAUAAGGGCAGGCUAA
rnacentral:rRNA from 1 species